AGUUUCAGGUUUGCUGAGCAAACAUUGAGCCCAGCCUCUGCAGAAAGGCUGAGUCUCCAGUUCCUGUCCAGCUCCUGACACAAAACCCUGAGCUUCCUCUGGAGCCUUGUAAGACCCUUCCUCUUCCCAGCAUAUCGAAUUGCAGCUGUCUCAGGCCGACUGGCAGCAAAUUGCUGCUCCUGAGUCUGCCCUUGGGUUUUUUCCAAGCAGAAGGGAAAGGCUGGAAGUUGCUGGUUUCUGCAGCCAAGGCUGUCCCAGCGAGCUCAUUUCUGCCCUGUUGAGAGACAGCAGCAGGCUCUGGGUGGGUGAGAGCACCAAUGCGGCCGGGGAGCACCGGUGGCAGGUGGGCAUCGUGCCUGCCUUCACCAGCCUGACGGGAACAGACAGGGACAAAGCAGGUUCCAGGCUGGCUCCACGACUGUGCUGUCCCCAGGGAAGGAAGAGUCCUCCCACUGCACUGGCUGCUGGUGACCUGGCAGGGGACAUGGAGCUGCUGGCUGUCACAGCACCUGAGGAAGCAGGGAAGGAUGCAACAGCAUCACAAGCUGAGGUGGAAGGAGCAGAAAAAGCAGCUGCAAUGCCAGAGGCAGAAAGCCUAGUGGGAACAGGUCUGGGCAGGAAGGGGGUCACCCCUGAAGGAGCAGCAACGAUUGUGGUGGGAACAUCAAAAAACCCAGCAGCAGAAAGGGAUGUGGAAGCAUUUUCCAGGGCAGCAGAAAGAAUUGCAGUAUCAGAAGUAGCCAAGGUGUUGCAGUCAGCAGUAGCUGAGCUCAAAGGGAAGAGGAAGAACAUGUGGAUAAAGCCAAGGAAUACCACUCAGCAGGAAGAGGAUUGGAUGAAAGAGGGAGAGGUGAAAUGAAAUGGAGAGCAUGGAAUGGGAAAGGUGACUCCAGCCAGAUUGAUAAUGGUGCGAUGCCAGGAAGUCCAGAAGAAAUUCAAGAAAUGGGAAAAAAUAACUUCAAAACAGUGGUGUCAGCAUGAAUGACAUUCCCCAGGCAGUACAGAUGGAUCAUUAAAACAGAUUUCUAAUUUUUGAAACGAAAAAAUA
rnacentral:lncRNA from 1 species